rnacentral:lncRNA from 1 species
ACCCAUUAGGGUUUGACACGGGAUCUCUAUAAAUAGGAGGGAUUCACAGCCUCAUAGGCUAGAGUCUUUGCUUGCCUUUCCUAUUCUCCUCUCCCUCUCCACCUCAGAGUAGGCCUGGAGUUUUGAGGAGCGUCGUCGCAACCCUGCUGUGUGGAUCACCGCUAGAGAGGAGGACGCUUGACCUCCUUCACCCUCUACUAAGGAUCUGCAAGAAAACAGGGAUAUACGAUCUCCCUAGGUAACACAAUCUCUAUACGCAGUUUUGUGUUUUGCGGAUUUUUACGCACCAAUCUUCGCACGACGACGAACAUCUUUUUGGGAAUCGGGGAUUUUUGUUUUCUUGUUCUUCCGCUACGCAUAUGAUGUCUCCCCAAAUGAUUUCCCAAUAGACCUUACGAGGGCUAUUGAGUGUCGAUAGAGGAUCAUCCACUCUCGGCGUCAUGAGAGGAAUAUCCCAUGUGUUCUUGCUCAGACAAAUCCUCGGCUAGGGUCAUUCGGGUUGAGAGAGAAAGAGUUCUCCGGGAGAAUCCGAUUAGAGCAAGACUCCAGUAGAAACCGUAUGGGUCUGACAGCACCAUGCUCGAUAUACGGUCUCUGGGAUAUUAGAUGGAUGAGGGACUAUAGGUAAACGGUAACUGAGGACAGACAAGUCCAAUAGAUUGGAUUCCCCUGUAUCGUCUGGGGACUACGGCGUAGUGGCCUAGUACGUCCGUAGUCGAUGAGUCGAGUGAAUUAUUACAGAGAUAAUAAUUCACUGAGUUAGAAGGAGUUCUGACAGGUAUGACUCAUGGACAGCUCGAUAUUGGGCCUAGAGGGUCACACACAUAUGGUAGGCAUUACGAUGAGUAGAGGUUCAGAUAUGAGAUAUCCGACGGAGCCCUUGUCUUAUUGGAUGCAGAUCCAAUACCCACUAAGGAAGGACCCAUUAGGGUUUGACUCGGGAUCUCUAUAAAUAGGAGGGAUUCACAGCCUCAUAGGCUAGAGUCUUUGCUUGUCUUUCCUAUUCUCCUCUCCCUCUCCACCUUAGAGUAGGCCUGGAGUUUUGAGGAGCGUCGUCGCAACCCUGCUGUGUGGAUCACCGCUAGAGAGGAGGACGCUUGACCUCCUUCACCCUCUCCUAAGGAUCUGCAAGGAAACAGGGAUAUACGAUCUCCCUAGGUAACACAAUCUCUAUACGCAGUUUUGUGUUUUGCGGAUUUUUACGCACCAAUCUUCGCACGACGACGAACAUCUUUUUGGGAAUCGGGGAUUUUU